UUCUUAAUCAAUAUAAAAUUUGGAGAGUACAAGUAAAGAACUUAAAAACCAAAGAAUAUGGCGGUAUUUUAUUCUAUCAGGGGAACCUGUGUCUUAAUUUGAUAGUCCACGUUUUUAAAGUCUAAUUUUGAAAAUUCAGUUUGUGUACUGCCGUAUUAUAGACUUUAAAUAUUAGUUUAUGAAAAUUAUUAAAUAAAGAAAAUCAGGUCAAAGUGCAACUUAUAGUUAGAUGAACCAUGGGUUACAUUUAUAUUAGAUUCGAAUUUUAAUAAUUUGAAGGAUUUGAAAGUAAUUAAAUUUAAAUAAAUAUAAUGAAAUAGAUUCUAAAAUAUGC
rnacentral:rRNA from 1 species